UUUAACUGAGCGUUCAGUUACUUGACGUAGACCCGAAACCGGGCGACCUACCCAUGAGCAGGAUGAAGCGAAAGUAAAAUUUCGUGGAGGUCCGAACCCACGAGCGUUGAAAAGCUCGGGGAUGACUUGUGGGUAGCGGUGAAAUUCCAAUCGAGCCCGGAGAUAGCUGGUUCUCCCCGAAAUAGCUUUAGGGCUAGCCUCAAGGUGAGAGAUACGGAGGUAGAGCACUGAAUGUCCUAGGGGGUAUUGCACCUACCGAAGACUAUCAAACUCCGAAUGCCGUCAUCUUAUACUUGGGAGUCAGACUGUGGGUGAUAAGAUUCAUAGUCGAAAGGGCAACAGCCCAGAUCGUCAGCUAAGGUCCCUAAAUGUAAGUUAAGUGGUAAAGGAUGUGGGAUUGCACAGACAACCAGGAUGUUGGCUUAGAAGCAGCCACUCAUUCAAAGAGUGCGUAAUAGCUCACUGGUCGAGUGAUCCUGCGCCGAAGAUUUCCGGGGCUAAAACUUACUACCGAAGCUACGGCAUCAGUAAUGAUGGGUAGGGGAGCUUCCCAUACGGGUUGAAGCAUGACCGUAAGGACAUGUGGACAGUAUGGGAGUGAGAAUGUUGGCAUGAGUAGCGAGAUGUGGGUGAGAAUCCCACAGGCCGUAAACCCAAGGUUUCCAGGGGAAGGUUCGUCCGCCCUGGGUUAGUCGGGACCUAAGCUGAGGCCGAAAGGCGUAGGUGAUGGACAACAGGUUGAUAUUCCUGUACUACCGAUAACCGUUUGAGAGAAGGGAUGACACAGUAGGAUAAGCUAAGCACACUGUUGGUUAUGUGUGCCCAAGCAUUGAGGCAGUCAAAGUAGGCAAAUCCGCUUUGAUAAUGCUGGGAUGUGAUGGGGAGCGAAAUUUAGUAGCGAAGUAGCUGAUUUCACACUGUCAAGAAAAGUCUCUAUCGAGGUUAAAGGUACCCGUACCGCAAACCGACACAGGUGGGUGAGGAGAGUAUCCUAAGGCCAGCGAGAGAACUGUUGUUAAGGAACUCGGCAAAAUGACCCCGUAACUUAGGGAUAAGGGGUGCCACCAUCAGGUGGCCGCAGAGAAUAGGCCCAAGCGACUGUUUACCAAAAACAUAGGUUUCUGCUAAGUCGCAAGACGAUGUAUAGGAGCUGACGCCUGCCCGGUGCUGGAAGGUUAAGGGGAUCUGUUAGAGCAAUCGAAGCAGUGAACUUAAGCCCCAGUAAACGGCGGCCGUAACUAUAACGGUCCUAAGGUAGCGAAAUUCCUUGUCGGGUAAGUUCCGACCCGCACGAAAGGCGUAACGAUUUGGGCACUGUCUCAACAACAGACUCGGUGAAAUUGUAAUUCCGGUGAAGAUGCCGGAUACCUGCGACAGGACGGAAAGACCCCAUGGAGCUUUACUGUAGCUUGACAUUGGGUCUUGGUACUACAUGUACAGGAUAGGUGGGAGGCUUUGAAACCAGGACGCCAGUUUUGGCGGAGCCAUCCUUGGGAUACCACCCUUGUAGUACUGGGACUCUAACCAUAGGCCAUGAAUCUGGUCUUGGGACACUGUCAGGUGGGCAGUUUGACUGGGGCGGUCGCCUCCCAAAAGGUAACGGAGGCGCUCAAAGGUUCUCUCAGUACGGUCGGAAAUCGUACGUAGAGUGUAAAGGCAAAAGAGAGCUUGAUUGCAAGACAUACAGGUCGAGCAAGGAUGAAAAUCGGACUUAGUGAUCCGGUGGUUCUGCGUGGAAGGGCCAUCGCUCAACGGAUAAAAGCUACCCUGGGGAUAACAGGCUUAUCUCCCCCAAGAGUCCACAUCGACGGGGAGGUUUGGCACCUCGAUGUCGGCUCAUCACAUCCUGGGGCUGUAGUAGGUCCCAAGGGUUGGGCUGUUCGCCCAUUAAAGUGGUACGCGAGCUGGGUUCAGAACGUCGUGAGACAGUUCGGUCCCUAUCCGUCGCAGGCGUAGGAAAUUUGAGAAGACCUGUCCUUAGUACGAGAGGACCGGGAUGGACGUACCUCUGGUGUACCAGUUGUCCUGCCAAGGGCAUGGCUGGGUAGCUAUGUACGGAAUGGAUAAGCGCUGAAAGCAUCUAAGCGCGAAGCCAACUUCAAGAUAAGAUUUCCCACCGCAAGGGUAAGACCCCAGAAAGAC
rnacentral:rRNA from 1 species